rnacentral:rRNA from 1 species
UACGGGGGGAGCAAGCGUUGUUCGGAUUUACUGGGCGUAAAGGGCGCGUAGGCGGUCAGCACAAGUCAGUUGUGAAAUCUCCGGGCUUAACUCGGAAAGGUCAACUGAUACUGUGCGACUAGAGUGCGGAAGGGGCAACUGGAAUUCUCGGUGUAGCGGUGAAAUGCGUAGAUAUCGUAAGGAAGACCAGUGGCGAAGGCGGGUCUCUGGACAGUUCCUGACGCUGAGGCACGAAGGCCAGGGGAGCAAACGGG